rnacentral:rRNA from 1 species
AUUGAACGCUGGCGGCAGGCUUAACACAUGCAAGUCGAGCGAGCGGCGGACGGGUGAGUAAUGUCUGGGACACUGCCUGAUGGCGGGGGAUAACUACUGGAAACGGUAGCUAAUACCGCAUACCAUCAGAUGUGCCCAGAUGGGAUUAGCUAUUAGGUGGGGUAAUGGCUCACCUAGGCGACGAUCCCUAGCUGGUCUGAGAGGAUGACCAGCCACACGGGAACUGAGACACGGUCCAGAGUCCUACGGGAGGCAGCAGUGGGGAAUAUUGCACAAUGGGCGCAAGCCGGAUGCAGCCAUGCCGCUUGUGUGAAGAAGGCCGUCGGGUUGUAAAGUACUUUUGGCAGAUAAGCGGUAUCUGCAGAAUAAGCACCGGCUAACUACGUGCCAGCAGCCGCGGUAAUUC